rnacentral:tRNA from 1 species
GGGUCUAUAGCCAAGUGGUAAGGCAAGGGACUGCAACUCCCUGAGCGCCGGUUCGAAUCCGGCUAGGCCCUCCA